rnacentral:rRNA from 1 species
AGCAUCCGUAGCCGGCUAAGCAAGUCUCCGGUUAAAUCCACAUGCUCAACAGGUGGGCUGCUGGAGAUACUACAAAGUUAGGGAGCGGGAGAGGCAGACGGUAUUCGGGGGGUAGGGGUAAAAUCCUCUGAUCCUCCGAGGACCACCAGUGGCGAAGGCGGUCUGCCAGAACGCGUUCGACGGUGAGGGAUGAAAGAUGGGGGAGCAAACCGGAUUAGAUACCCGGGUAGUCCCAGCUGUAAACGAUGCAAACUCGGUGAUGCGUUGGCUUAUGGCCAACGCAGUGCCGCAGGGAAGCCGUUAAGUUUGCCGCCUGGGAAGUACGGCCGCAAGACUGAAACU